rnacentral:sRNA from 1 species
GCGCCCCGCCCCCGGCCCCCGCCGGCCGCGCCAAACUCUUCAUUUGCAAAGCGGACUGCAUGCUCUGAUUUAGAUUUUUAAAACAAGUCAAAACUUUUAACAACGGAUCUCUUGGUUCUGGCAUCGAUGAAGAACGCAGCGAAAUGCGAUAAGUAAUGUGAAUUGCAGAAUUCAGUGAAUCAUCGAAUCUUUGAACGCACAUUGCGCCCGGCAGCAAUCUGCCGGGCAUGCCUGUCCGAGCGUCAUUUCUCCCCUCGAGCGCGGUUGCCCCUAGGGGCGGCUGCUGCUCGGUGUUGGGGCUCUGCGGGCCUCGCCCGCAGUCCCCGAAAUGAAGUGGCGGUCCCGCCGCGGCGCCCCCUGCGUAGUAAUAACUGCCUCGCAUCGGGUCCCGGCGACGACCAGCCGUCGAACCUUUCUUUUGAUGGUUUGACCUCGGAUCAGGUAGGGUUACCCGCUGAACUUAAGCAUAUCAAUAA